UUUAUACCAUGAAUAAAACUUAUUAGUUUGUUUCAGUGGGAGUGCAUGUCAACCGAACUUGAACGUCUUAUAUUAUGGGAAAAAGGGAAUAGAUGUUUAUGCCACGAAUAGAACUUGUUAAUUUAUUUUAGUCGGAGUACAUGCCGAUCGUUCAUGCAUGCGGUGGCUGGAGGGAUAAGCCGCAGUUCUUGUAGCAGAUGCAUGUCCAGGUGUUAUGGCAAUGGCCGUUGUCGAAGCCCUCAUCCCGGCAGGGCCCGUUGCAGGUGCCUGCUAUGAUGCAAGUGUCGUUGGUCCACCUCCCGCUCUUCCGCUUUUCGCAGCCAUGCGACCCCAUUUUUUCUGCAUCCAUCCACAGACAAUACGAAUUAACCAUCAACUUAACUAAUUUGGAUCAGUCUGAUCGGGAGAUGUGUGGGAUGAUGGUCUUCCUACCAGAUGACAGCACGAGCAGCAUUAACAUCGACAGGCAUAUGAAAGCCUUGCCGGUUCCCAGUGGUCCUUCAGCAACCUUCUUCAUGCACGAUGCCAUGUCGAAGAGGUAAUGUGUGUUGUUUUUUCUAAAUGAAACCGAUGGUUGUGUGAGUAUUUAUAGCAAAAGUAUGUCAAUGUUGACACGAUUACUUGGUAAGAUAUUAAUGCGUGCUAUCAAUGCUUAUCCUAAUGUCUAGCUAGUUUUAAUUCCACUUCUAAACAUGGCUGGUGCCUUAUCCUAACGCCUAGUUUUAGACAUGAU
rnacentral:lncRNA from 1 species